GGGGUUGACACGGAUUUGACAGCAUGUAGAGGUGGUACGUAAGCAUGCAGAGCGUUGAUGGCUGGCUCUUUAAUAUCGGCUCUCAAGCAAUUUAUCUGGCGAAAACAACUACGCUCUCGCUGCGUGAUCGAAGAUCAGUAGAUCAGCGCUUAAUUCCUUCACCAGGUGAGGGAACGAGACAUCGCCCUGACAGCUCUUGUUCCGAGGCGGUCAGAUCAGCGGUGCGGCAAAUUCGGAAAUAGUUGCGGCAGGCCUCAAUGUCGUAAUGAAAUUUUAGAGGAUAAGGAUGGAUUUGGUAGUCCGGGUCUUGAUUCAUCUCGAAAAUCUAAACCGGAAUAAGCAUGUAGAAAGCGUAUGGCUUCCUUGUUUGGACGAGGGUUCGACUCCCUCCAGCUCCAC
rnacentral:tmRNA from 1 species